GACAGAGGGUGCGAACGUUGUUCGGAAUUACUGGGCGUAAGGCGCAUGUAGGCGGCAGCGCAAGUCGGGCGUGAAAUCCCACGGCUCAACCGUGGAAGUGCACUCGAAACUGCGCAGCUAGAGUCCUGGAGAGGAAGGUGGAAUGCUUGGUGUAGAGGUGAAAUUCGUAGAUAUCAAGCGGAACACCGGUGGCGAAGGCGGCCUUCUGGACAGUGACUGACGCUGAGAUGCGAAAGCGUGGGGAGCAAACAGG
rnacentral:rRNA from 1 species